UACGGGGGGGGCAAGCGUUGUUCGGAAUUACUGGGCGUAAAGGGCUCGUAGGCGGCCAACUAAGUCAGACGUGAAAUCCCUCGGCUUAACCGGGGAACGGCGUCUGAUACUGGAUGGCUUGAAUCCGGGAGAGGGAUGCGGAAUUCCAGGUGUAGCGGUGAAAUGCGUAGAUAUCUGGAAGGAACACCGGUGGCGAAGGCGGCAUCCUGGACCGGCAUUGACGCUGAGGAGCGAAAGCCAGGGGAGCAACGGGAUUAAGAAACCCGAUGUACAG
rnacentral:rRNA from 1 species